CGGCGGAGAGCUGCGAUGGAGUGCGCCUUGGCCCGCUGGCCCUGGCUGCAGCUCCUCGGGGGAACCCGGGCGCCCACGCGAGACUCUGCCCACCUGAGGACGCUAGGAGCAGCAAUCCCUGGACCCCACCAGCAUACAAAGCAGCCACUGGCAGAGAGCCCCCAGGACCCGGUGGUGAAGGAUGAAGAGGACCAGAACUGACCAGCCAAGCUUCUCGAAAGGCCUAUCUACACUUGCUGGCCUCCUUCCUCACCUUCAUCUUCCUCUCCAACCUGCCGCUUCCCGACUUCCUGUUCUGCGUCAUCAAACGGCUCUCACGAAGGGCCAGUCCGUGCUGGGCACACUGGCCUCCACCUGUCUGGGUGGGCUGGAGAACAGGACGGAAGACUCAGAAGAGCCCCUGAGGACCUCUCUCCCCUGGACCAAGCCCCCCUUCCGGAUGGCCACCUGGCAUCUCACUCCCAGCCACUUGCCUCUCCACUCCUUUCUGGUUUGGGGUGAGUCUCUUGCUUUCUUAUGACACCAUGAUUUCAUUAGGCUCAGCUCAUGUCUCUGUUCAAGAAGGCACACAUUUAAUUUGGGGAGGGGACCGCUGCCGAGGGUGAAUCUUCUUUUACUCCAACUCUGGCACCUGGGGGUCUGGAAACUGUCUGGAGCCAAGACCCUCUGCCCACUGAACCCCUUGCCACACCAAGCCAGCCUGUGUGGGGCCCACCCUGGGCCAGGCAUGGUAAGUGAGUGACCAAUUCUAGUCUGUGCCCCUGAGAACUAGCUUGGGCCAGACAUGUCA